rnacentral:rRNA from 1 species
UGGGGAAUUUUGGACAAUGGGCGAAAGCCUGAUCCAGCAAUGCCGCGUGUGUGAAGAAGGCCUUCGGGUUGUAAAGCACUUUUGUCCGGAAAGAAAUCCUUGGCUCUAAUACAGUCGGGGGAUGACGGUACCGGAAGAAUAAGCACCGGCUAACUACGUGCCAGCAGCCGCGGUAAUACGUAGGGUGCAAGCGUUAAUCGGAAUUACUGGGCGUAAAGCGUGCGCAGGCGGUUUGCUAAGACCGAUGUGAAAUCCCCGGGCUCAACCUGGGAACUGCAUUGGUGACUGGCAGGCUAGAGUAUGGCAGAGGGGGGUGGAAUUCCACGUGUAGCAGUGAAAUGCGUAGAGAUGUGGAGGAAUACCGAUGGCGAAGGCAGCCCCCUGGGCCAAUACUGACGCUCAUGCACGAAAGCGUGGGGAGCAAACAGGAUUAGAUACCCUGGUAGUCCACGCCCUAAACGAUGUCAACUAGUUGUUGGGGAUUCAUUUCCUUAGUAACGUAGCUAACGCGUGAAGUUGACCGCCUGGGGAGUACGGUCGCAAGAUU